rnacentral:rRNA from 1 species
GAUGAACGCUGGCGGCGUGCCUAAUACAUGCAAGUCGAGCGAGCAGAUAAGGAGCUUGCUCCUUUGACGUUAGCGGCGGACGGGUGAGUAACACGUGGGUAACCUACCUAUAAGACUGGGAUAACUUCGGGAAACCGGAGCUAAUACCGGAUAACAUUUGGAACCGCAUGGUUCUAAAGUGAAAGAUGGUUUUGCUAUCACUUAUAGAUGGACCCGCGCCGUAUUAGCUAGUUGGUAAGGUAACGGCUUACCAAGGCGACGAUACGUAGCCGACCUGAGAGGGUGAUCGGCCACACUGGAACUGAGACACGGUCCAGACUCCUACGGGAGGCAGCAGUAGGGAAUCUUCCGCAAUAGGCGAAAGCCUGACGGAGCAACGCCGCGUGAGUGAUGAAGGGUUUCGGCUCGUAAAACUCUGUUAUUAGGGAAGAACAAAUGUGUAAGUAACUGUGCACGUCUUGACGGUACCUAAUCAGAAAGCCACGGCUAACUACGUG